rnacentral:tRNA from 1 species
GGGGGAUUAGCUCAGUCUGGGAGAGCGUCGCGCUGGCAGCGCGAAGGUCAGGGGUUCGAGCCCCCUAUCCUCCACCA